rnacentral:other from 1 species
GACUUCCUGAGAUGUUCGAUACUCUUGAAUUUUUGAACCUACAAUACUUUAAACGGGAUUCCUAUAUUUGUGAUUGGAUGCCAGGCCGUCACUGCCGAACUUGUUCGGUACAAUGGAGACAUUGCAACGGAAGGCAGAAGACCACGUGCGGUUGCCCACCUAGCAUAUGCUAGGAGUCAAAAAUCAAGAACCGGCAUUUUGGGGGUUUU